GUCGUACCCCAAUUUUGUCCGGGCAUUUUUAAUUUUUUCAAAAUUAAUUUCAGUUUCAUUUUUGCAUCGUAUACAUACCAUUACAUACAUUGCAUCAUGAAUAAAACACCUAAAAUGUCAGUCAGAUUGGACUUCUUUGAAGAUACAGAAAAAUCGGUUGAAUCGUCGAAUUUGAGGAAAAUACUGUAUUUUUAAUAAGUAUGGUUUGUCUUGACAAUUUUAGUGUGACCAGUUCUUUUUGUACUCAAUUUCUAUUUUUUAACUGGUCAAAUAUUUAAAUUUUAGUUAAUUUAAACAAUUAGUUUUUUAUAUUAGUUAGAUUUUUUCUCAAAUAGCAGUUAAUUUUAGUUUUUAAAUAUUAAUUAGUUUUUUAUAUUAGUUAGAUUUUGUAAAAUAUUAGUUAGAGUAUUUUUUUUUUAAUAUUAAUUAGUUUUUCUAAAUAUUAGUUAGUUUUCAAAUAUUAGUUAGAUUUUUUCUUUUUAACAGUUAAUUAGUUUUUUAGUGUUAAUUAGUUUAAGCGUUAGUUAAUUUUUUUUUUUUAGUUAAUUUUUAAUAAUAGUUAGUUAGAAUUUUUAAAAUAUUAAUUAGUUUUAUUUAUUUAAUAAUUAUAUAUAAAUAUUACAUUGGAUUCCCCAAUCCAUAAAAAACAAAAAAAAGAGAAAAAAAAAUCUCCCAACG
rnacentral:lncRNA from 1 species